rnacentral:sRNA from 1 species
AUAUCUCUCUGUACGGGAAGGAUGAGAAGCUUCGACCAAGGUUCGAUUCGAGCGUCAGCGAGAAAGCGUUGCCGCAGGCAACGACCCGAAGGGCGAAGCGCGCAGCGCUGAGUCAUCCUUCCC